GGGAAUGUGGCUUAGUGGUAGAGUGCUUGCUCAGCAUGCAUGAAGCCCUGGGUUCGAAUCCUCAGCACCA
rnacentral:tRNA from 1 species